rnacentral:tmRNA from 1 species
GGGAUAUAUGGUUUUGACAGCAAGUAGAAAGGGUAUGUAAGCACGCCGAGCAUGGACAGCGCUCGUAAAUCGAGUCCAAACAAUUAACUGGCAACAAUUCUUAUGCUCUCGCUGCCUAAUCGAAGUAUAGUAGAUUGGCGUCAUUUCGGCACAAGGUGCGGAAACGAGACAUCGCUCCAAGCCAAGCCUUGCGGCUUAUAGGAUAUAGCGGUGCGGAAAUAGCAAGGAUAGUUAGUGCAAGCUGCGAUGCAAUAACGAAAACUUUAGCAGAUAAGGCAACGGUUGGUGGCUUGGGUCUUGCCGAUGCUCGAAAAUCAAGGCCAAGAUAAGCGUGUAGAAAGCAUAUCGGUUCCUUGUUUGGACGCGGGUUCGAAUCCCGCUAUCUCCACA